rnacentral:snoRNA from 1 species
AUUUCGUGAUGAGGGCACUUCCGUAAUAAUUCUUUGUACCUUUCCCAUGCCUCACACAAGGACUCAUCAUCUAUUUUUUGGAAAGCAAUGAUCUUGUAACACCCCAAACCU